CGGGUGAGUAACGCGUGAGUAACCUGCCCUAGAGUGGGGGACAACAGUUGGAAACGGCUGCUAAUACCGCAUAAGCGCACGGCAUCGCAUGAUGCAGUGUGAAAAACUCCGGUGGUAUAAGAUGGACCCGCGUUGGAUUAGCUAGUUGGUGAGGUAACGGCCCACCAAGGCGACGAUCCAUAGCCGACCUGAGAGGGUGACCGGCCACAUUGGGACUGAGACACGGCCCAA
rnacentral:rRNA from 1 species